UCGGGAAUUUUGGGCAAUGGGCGAAAGCCUGACCCAGCAACGCCGCGUGAGGGAUGAAGUAUUUCGGUAUGUAAACCUCGAAAGAAUGGGAAGAAUAAAUGACGGUACCAUUUAUAAGCUCCGGCUAACUACGUGCCAGCAGCCGCGGUAAUACGUAGGGAGCAAGCGUUGUUCGGAUUUACUGGGCGUAAAGGGCGCGUAGGCGGCGCGGUAAGUCACUUGUGAAAUCUCUGAGCUUAACUCAGAACGGCCAAGUGAUACUGCUGUGCUAGAGUGCGGAAGAGGCAACCGGAAUUCUUGGUGUAGCGGUGAAAUGCGUAGAUAUCAAGAGGAACACCUGAGGCGAAGACGGGUUACUGGGCCGACACUGACGCUGAUGCGCGAAAGCCAGGGGAGCAAACG
rnacentral:rRNA from 1 species